rnacentral:rRNA from 1 species
UACGUAGGGGGCGAGCGUUGUCCGGAAUCAUUGGGCGUAAAGCGCGUGUAGGCGGCCCGGUAAGUCCGCUGUGAAAGUCCAGGGCUCAACCCUGGGAUGCCGGUGGAAACUGUCGGGCUAGAGUCCGGAAGAGGCGAGUGGAAUUCCUGGUGUAGCGGUGAAAUGCGCAGAUAUCAGGAGGAACACCGAUGGCGAAGGCAGCUCGCUGGGACGGUACUGACGCUGAGGCGACGAAAGGCGUGGGGAGCAAACAGG